UACGUAGGGUGCGAGCGUUGUCCGGAAUUACUGGGCGUAAAGAGCUCGUAGGCGGUUUGUCGCGUCGUCCGUGAAAACUCACAGCUUAACUGUGAGCUUGCGGUCGAUACGGGCAGGCUAGAGUUCGGUAGGGGAGACUGGAAUUCCUGGUGUAGCGGUGAAAUGCGCAGAUAUCAGGAGGAACACCGGUGGCGAAGGCGGGUCUCUGGGCCGAUACUGACGCUGAGGAGCGAAAGCGUGGGGAGCGAACAGG
rnacentral:rRNA from 1 species